AGCGAACGCUGGCGGCAGGCCUAACACAUGCAAGUCGAACGAAGUCUUCGGACUUAGUGGCGGACGGGUGAGUAACACGUGGGAACGUGCCCUUUGGUACGGAAUAACUCAGGGAAACUUGAGCUAAUACCGUAUGUGCCCUUCGGGGGAAAGAUUUAUCGCCAUUGGAGCGGCCCGCGUCUGAUUAGCUAGUUGGUUGGGUAAAGGCUCACCAAGGCGACGAUCAGUAGCUGGUAUUAGAGGAUGAUCAGCCACAUUGGGGCUGAGACACGGCCCAACAUCCUACGGGAGGCAGCAGUGGGGAAUCUUGCGCAAUGGGCGAAAGCCUGACGCAGCCAUGCCGCGUGAAUGAUGAAGGUCUUAGGAUUGUAAAAUUCUUUCACCGGGGACGAUAAUGACGGUACCCGGACAAGAAGCCCCGGCUAACUUCGUGCCAGCCGCCGCGGUAAUAC
rnacentral:rRNA from 1 species